rnacentral:rRNA from 1 species
AUUGAACGCUGGCGGCAGGCUUAACACAUGCAAGUCGAACGAGUGGCGGACGGGUGAGUAAUGCUUGGGAAUCUAGCCUAUGGAGGGGGAUAACUACGGGAAACUGUCGCUAAUACCGCGUACCAUCGGAUGCGCCCAAGUGGGAUUAGCUAGUUGGUGCGGUAAAGGCUCACCAAGGCGACGAUCUCUAGCUGGUCUGAGAGGCUGAACAGCCACACUGGGACUGGGACACGGCCCAGACUCCUACGGGAGGCAGCAGUGGGGAAUAUUGCACAAUGGGGGCAAGCCUGACGCAGCCAUGCCGCGUGUAUGAAGAAGGCCUUCGGGUUGUAAAGUACUUUCAGUAGGGAGGCGUUACCCGCAGAAGAAGCACCGGCUAACUCCGUGCCAGCAGCCGCGGUAAUAC